rnacentral:rRNA from 1 species
GAUAAACGCUGGCGGCGUGCUUAACACAUGCAAGUCGAACGAAGUUUUUCCUUCGGGAGAAACUUAGUGGCGGACGGGUGAGUAACGCGUGGGUAACCUGCCCUGUACAGGGGGACAACAGCUGUAAACGGCUGCUAAUACCGCAUAAGCCCUUAGCACUGCAUGGUGCAUAGGGAAAAGGAGCAAUCCGGUACAGGAUGGACCCGCGUCUGAUUAGCCAGUUGGCAGGGUAACGGCCUACCAAAGCGACGAUCAGUAGCCGAUCUGAGAGGAUGUACGGCCACAUUGGGACUGAGACACGGCCCAGACUCCUACGGGAGGCAGCAGUGGGGAAUAUUGCACAAUGGAGGAAACUCUGAUGCAGCGACGCCGCGUGAGUGAAGAAGUAUUUCGGUAUGUAAAGCUCUAUCAGCAGGGAAGAAAAUGACGGUACCUGACUAAGAAGCACCGGCUAAAUACGU